AAGGAAUGCCAGAUGGAAUCAACAGAGUGGAAAGACCAAGAGGUAGAUUCUGUGUGGAAUACUCAUGGCAAGAUAUGCACUGCAUGAGAAGGGAUUUCCCUUCUCAAGAAAGGAGCCCUUGGUUGUGGGGCAAGUUGGGCAAAACUGUCACCAGCUCAGAGGUAAGAGAGAGUGUCUUAUAGCAAACACGCUGACAAGAAGAACACAGUUUCUUUUAUUGAUUUAUUUAUUUAUUUUUUAAGAAAUGACUUACACAGGGUCACACAGCUAGCAAGUGUCUGAGGCCAGAUUUGAACUCAGGUUGUCCUGAUUCUAGGGCAGGUUGCUCUACUCACUGGGUCACCUAACUGCCACAAGGACAUGAUUUCCAGUUGUGGUACCUGUCAGUGGCUUGGGGGCACCUUGGCCUUUGGAAAGUCAACUGGGCUUUAGUAAGCUUCUUUACUGCGUGCACCUAGGACCUCGUCCUUUUGGUGACCUUGAUUCAAGCAGGUGACAUAGCAGUCUACUAAAUCUACAAGACUCUCCCAUAAUCAUUCAGUCAGUUAAUAAGAAAUUAUUUCUGUGUCCAAGGUACUAUGGUAAGGUCUGGGGAUAGAAGGGCAAAAAACACAAUCC
rnacentral:lncRNA from 1 species